rnacentral:misc_RNA from 1 species
CAACAGGGAUUGCCCCAGUAACGGCGAGUGAAGCGGCAACAGCUCAAAUUUGAAAUCUGGCUCUCGGGCCCGAGUUGUAAUUUGUAGAGGAUGCUUUUGGUGAGGUGCCUUCCGAGUUCCCUGGAACGGGACGCCAUAGAGGGUGAGAGCCCCGUCUGGUUGGACACCGACCCUCUGUAAAGCUCCUUCGACGAGUCGAGUAGUUUGGGAAUGCUGCUCUAAAUGGGAGGUAUAUGUCUUCUAAAGCUAAAUACCGGCCAGAGACCGAUAGCGCACAAGUAGAGUGAUCGAAAGAUGAAAAGAACUUUGAAAAGAGAGUUAAAAAGUACGUGAAAUUGUUGAAAGGGAAGCGCUUGUGACCAGACUUGGGCUUGGUUGAUCAUCCGGGGUUCUCCCCGGUGCACUCUUCCGGCCCAGGCCAGCAUCAGUUCGCCCUGGGGGACAAAGGCUUCGGGAAUGUGGCUCUCUCCGGGGAGUGUUA